CCUANGGGUGGCAGCAGGGAGGAAUAUUGGGCAAUGGGCGAAAGCCUGACCCAGCAACGCCGCGUGAAGGAUGAAAGCCUUCGGGUUGUAAACUUCUUUUGAGGGAGACGAGAAAGGACGGUAUCCCUCGAAUAAGCACCGGCUAACUACGUGCCAGCAGCCGCGGUAAUACGUAGGGUGCGAGCGUUAAUCGGAAUUACUGGGCGUAAAGCGUGCGCAGGCGGUUUGUUAAGUCUGAUGUGAAAGCCCCGGGCUCAACCUGGGAACUGCAUUGGAAACUGGCAAGCUCGAGUAUGGCAGAGGGGGGUGGAAUUCCGCGUGUAGCAGUGAAAUGCGUAGAGAUGCGGAGGAACACCGAUGGCGAAGGCAGCCCCCUGGGCCAAUACUGACGCUCAGGCACGAAAGCGUGGGGAGCAAACAGGAUUAGAUACCCGUNUANUC
rnacentral:rRNA from 1 species